rnacentral:rRNA from 1 species
UACGUAGGUGGCAAGCGUUGUCCGGAAUUAUUGGGCGUAAAGCGCGCGCAGGCGGUCCUUUAAGUCUGAUGUGAAAGCCCACGGCUCAACCGUGGAGGGUCAUUGGAAACUGGGGGACUUGAGUGCAGGAGAGAAGAGUGGAAUUCCACGUGUAGCGGUGAAAUGCGUAGAGAUGUGGAGGAACACCAGUGGCGAAGGCGACUCUUUGGCCUGUAGCUGACGCUGAGGCGCGAAAGCGUGGGGACGCAAACAGG